CCUACGGGGGGCAGCAGUGGGGGAUAUUGGACAAUGGGGGGAACCCUGAUCCAGCGACGCCGCGUGAGUGAAGAAGUAUCUCGGUAUGUAAAGCUCUAUCAGCAGGGAAGAAGAAAUGACGGUACCUGAGUAAGAAGCCCCGGCUAACUACGUGCCAGCAGCCGCGGUAAUACGUAGGGGGCAAGCGUUAUCCGGAAUUACUGGGUGUAAAGGGAGCGUAGACGGUGAUGUAAGUCUGGAGUGAAAGCCCGGGGCCCAACCCCGGGACUGCUCUUGGAACUGCGCGGCUGGAGUGCAGGAGGGGCAGGCGGAAUUCCUGGUGUAGCGGUGAAAUGCGUAGAUAUCAGGAGGAACACCGGUGGCGAAGGCGGCCUGCUGGACUGCGACUGACGUUGAGGCCCGAAAGCGUGGGGAGCAAACAGGAUUAGAUACCCGAGUAGUC
rnacentral:rRNA from 1 species